UGAAUUACUCACAGGAAGAUUCGAGACUCUAGGAGUGGUCCCAAAAAAACUUCUCCUGCAAAGCCACGACAGCUUUGAAAACCUACAACAAUGCAACCUUGGUUUUGCAAAGACGAAGCCAAACAUAAAAAAUUAAGUGGCGGAAACCCUCAACACGAUGAAAAAAGCGUUGCAAGUCAGUUGCCACCCAGUUUCCCAAAAUCAAGAGAGAGUGGGUCGAGUCAUAUGAUGACCGAAGUGAUGCGGUGUCCAGCGAUGACGACUGAAGAGAUCCUAUGAGGCCUGCCAGAUGCUGAAUUUCUUCCGUCUGCGACAUCAGAUGACGAUGAUUUAGGAGAAAUAAAUGUAGCAAAUUUUGAUGACAUGAAAUCAUAAACUAGUCAUAUAUACAGUACACACUUUUUAAAAGAAAAAUCAAGUUACCUUCAUAUUUUAAUGAUAAUGCAUUAUCUUUGUAUAGAGAACACUUCAUGCUACAGAAAAGAGUAAAUACAUAUACAUAAAUCUGGUAUCAUUUAUUAUUGUGGCCUAUUAAAUAUUUUUUCAGAAUGUAAUAUAAUUACAAUAUAUUAUAUACCAAUAGAAUACAUUAAACAGUCAACAAAAUGUGUCAGUGUUGUUAACAAUUUAUGGUUUUAUUUUUUUAAUGUAAUUCAUGCCCCUGUCAGUGCUUCAGCCUCCUCAAGUUUGGCUCUCACGUCUGGGAUCUCCUGAUGACACAGGCAUACUCUUGGAAGGGUAAUUACUUGACGGUUUACAGCAACACCUGGAAAAUAAAAUGGUUUUGUCAUUUAUUUUGAAAUAUCAAUAACAUAUCAUUCAUUUAGCCACAUUUGGGCUAGCUUUAUCAUAUUUAGAUCGGUAGGAGCUGUCCCAUUACCUAAUAUCCAGUUUUAGCUAUGUGUAGAGCAUUCAUUUAGCCACAUUUGGGCUAGCUUUAUCAUAUUUAGAUCGGUAGGAGCUGUCCCAUUACCUAAUAUCCAGUUUUAGCUAUGUGUAGCGCAUUCAUUUAGCCACAUUUGGGCUAGCUUUAUCAUAUUUAGAUCGGUAGGAGCUGUCCCAUUACCUAAUAUCCAGUUUUAGCUAUGUGUAGAGCAUGGAAAAAAUAUACAACCAUGUAAUCGC